rnacentral:lncRNA from 1 species
GUUGAAUAUGGUUUAGUAAAUUUGAAUUUUCAAGUAGGAGCUUGGAGAGUGGAUGUAGGUGCAAGGUUGGCACCGAACCAUUAUAAAUCUUUUUGUUUGUAUUGUGCUUACUUGUUCUCUUUUUAAAUUUUCUUAUCUUCUUGCAUUCUUGGGUCCAACUUCUUCACCUUGUAUAAAUUUUACUCUCCACAUUUAUCUUGCUCAUUAUUAAAUA